AGAAAGCAGAAGUAUGAUAUGCCACGUUUCAUCUGAUUUUUACUAUACACGUGUAUAAAAAUAUUAUAAUUAUUUUUUUUAAAUAACAGCUCAUAUUUUGCUUAAAAUUUUGCAAAAUCUAAGAACAUUUCAGAGUUUUCAUCAUCUAAAUUCUAGGAUUAAUUUCAUACAGAUCCCUACAAAUAUAGUAAAUUACAAAUACAUUUCUAUAAAAUUUAAUUUUCAUAUAUUGUCUCUUCAAAGGUUCUAAUGUUUUCAAAUAAACGUCCCCUUGAUUUAUUACCGUUAAAGCGUUGUUUUGUUUUAUAAGUAAAAUGACCCUUUUACCAUCAUAAAUAUAUUCCUCCAAAAAUUUCAACGGUUAAUUGAAGAGGAGUAAAAAGGUUAAUUCAUCUUUUUAGCUAAUUAGGAUUAAGUCUUUUAUCUAUGAUUAACUAAUUUUUUCUAACGAUCUUAACAACAGGGACAUAUUUGAAAAUAUGAAAAUUUUUGUAAGGAUGACAUAUGAAAGUUGAACUUUGUAGAGAUAUAUUUGCAAUUCAUUAUGUUUGCGGGGCCUGUAUGAAAUUAAUCCUAAUUUCUAUUAUCCAAUCUUAAUGCCUUGAUCAACACUAACAACAUUUACUACUUGUGUAUGUAAGUGGUUCAAACAUUUUCACAAGGAAAUUAAAAGAGUAGCCAUUUGAGUGUGUGUGGUCCAGAGUCUCUUAUCAGUUGACCUGCAGGCUGGUGGACACACAAGUGUGCACAAAAAUUAUACGGGCAGACUCGACGCGGAGAGACAGUCUAAUCAAUCAUUCAUUAUGUUUUAAAAAUUAUGCAUUGCAGAUCAUUUUCUAUAAAAUAAUAUUUUAAAUAUCGGGUUAAAUAACAAUCUGAAAAUAUUAUUGAGUCGCAAGUCGCCAGUGAUCAAUCACUGAUUGAACCAGUAAUGCCAGCAUAAUGUUACAGAUAUUUAACUAGUAUCAUACUUAAUUAUAAAAUGCUGAAUUUUUGGUCCAACUUAAAUAGAUAUAAAUUUUCAAGUUUCACUUAUUAGAAAACUAAUUUGUGAUAAUAGAAAACAAAAUUAGCUAAACUGAUUUUAGGUUGUUGAAAUUUAAUAUGACUUGAUAAGAAAAAAGCCGACUGGUUUGAUUAAAAUC
rnacentral:lncRNA from 1 species